GACGAACGCUGGCGGCGUGCUUAACACAUGCAAGUCGAACGGAAAGGCCUGCUUUCCCUUGUGGAUUGCGGGUACUCGAGUGGCGAACGGGUGAGUAACACGUGAGUGAUCUGCCCCCAACUUGGGUAUAAGCCUGGGAAACUGGGUCUAAUUCCCGAUAGGACUGCAGGGUGGUGCCUGUGGUGGAAAACGAUUUUCUAGUGGUUGGGGAUGAGCUCGCGGCCUAUCAGCUUGUUGGUGGGGUAAUGGCCUACCAAGGCGGCGACGGGUAGCCGGCCUGAGAGGGUGGACGGCCACAUUGGGACUGAGAUACGGCCCAGACUCCGACGGGAGGCAGCAGUGGGGAAUAUUGCACAAUGGGCGGAAGCCUGAUGCAGCGACGCCGCGUGGGGGAUGACGGACUUCGGGUUGUAAACUCCUUUCGACCGCGAGGAAGCCACCUGGUUGGAAGGGUGGUGACGGUAGUGGUAGAAGAAGCACCGGCUAACUACGUG
rnacentral:rRNA from 1 species